rnacentral:lncRNA from 1 species
GGCGUGUGGUCUCUAGACAACUGAGGGAAAGUAGACAGACCGUGCUCACCGAUUUAAAAGAACAGCCCUGAAAUGACCCCCGUUACACCCUGUUCUCUUUUUUAGACAAGUUACUUCCACCUGGAGCGGUUUCUGGGCCCGGGUAUGGGGAUUUCUUCACCCGGCCCCCUAGGCUUUCACCUCGGUGGAAUUUCCCGCGCCCCCGCUGGGAUGAUUUAGGGACUGUUGGCUAGAACUGCCCUUGCCUACCGCCCUACUGCGGGCGCUCCCCUGUCUGGGGGGUGCUUGGCUGGGUGUGGAGAAGGAUCAAUCACAGCUGACUCCUCAGAGGUGACAGCCCCUGCCCCCUUAAAAACAAGAAAAGACCUAGCAGUGUGAAGCCAAACUGCACCCCCAGCCCCGGUGACAUGAGGAAACCGUGAGGCGCUCAGCCUGAGGUUCAUCGUUCAUCUCCUUCCUGCUUGGAAUCAGAAUGUCCUCACUGCUGAGUUUCUCCGUUUUAUGGGAUUACAUUAGUGGACAAAGGAGGAAGUCCCAGCCGGGAACACAGAAAGGAUAUGGAGAAAAUUAUUAUUCUGCCCCUACAGUUUCGGUGACCCAGAUGGGAUCUCUGGGACACCCUGCCUGCUCUACAAUUGGGAUCCCUGGAAAAGUGACAGAAUCUGGCAACAGAUGAGUAAGAAAGGUCACUUCCUGGCAGACCUCAGGUAUAUUGGGGACAUCAAGAAAAGAAUAAUUCAUCAAAGUCUAUAGAUAUUGCAGGCAAAGUUGAAACAAGCCAGACAAGUUCUCUUUGUAUUCUUGAGAGACUUGGAAAGUCUAACCUGAGAUUCCUUAUUAAAAGUUCC